UACGGGGGGAGCAAGCGUUGUUCGGAUUUACUGGGCGUAAAGGGCGCGUAGGCGGCCAGCACAAGUCAGUUGUGAAAUCUCCGGGCUUAACUCGGAAGGUCAACUGAUACUGUGCGGCUAGAGUGCAGAAGGGGCAACUGGAAUUCUCGGUGUAGCGGUGAAAUGCGUAGAUAUCGUAAGGAAGACCAGUGGCGAAGGCGGGUCUCUGGACAGUUCCUGACGCUGAGGCACGAAGGUCAGGGGAGCAAACGGG
rnacentral:rRNA from 1 species